rnacentral:rRNA from 1 species
CCUACGGGAGGCAGCAGUAGGGAAUUUUGCGCAAUGGGCGAAAGCCUGACGCAGCAACACCGCGUGAAUGUUAAGCCCUUCGGGGUGUAAAGUUCUGUCAUUAGGGACGAUUUUUGACUGUACGUAUAAAUGAAUCACCGUCUAACUCCGUGCCAGCAGCCGUGGUAACAUGGGGGGUGCAGGCGUUGUCCGGAAUCAUUGGGCGUUAAGGGUUCGUAGGCGGCAUGGUAAGUGUGAUGUUAAAGCCCGGGGCUCAACCCCGGUUCGGCAUUGGAAACUGUCUAGCUUGAAUGUGGUAGAGGUAGAGGGAAUUCGUGGUGUAGCGGUGAAAUGCGUAGAUAUCACGAGGAACACCGAUGGCGAAGGCACUUUACUGGAGCAUUAUUGACGCUGAGGAACGAAAGCGAGGGGAGCGAAUGGGAUUAGAUACCCCUGUAGUC